UACAAGAACAUUAGAUAUGUUCCUAUCAAAGAAUUUACAGCAACAACUUCCUAAUAAUAUUAUAUUAUAUUAUGAUAAUAAAAUCCAACUCUAAUACUCAUAUAAUAAUAAACCCUCAAAUUUCACACAUCACUAAAAAUUCCCAAAUUAAACCCUAAUUUUCACUUCUUAGCUUUCUUCACCGGAGUCUUAACACUCUUCGGCUUCUUUGCAACCACCUUCUUCGCCGCUUUCUUCACCGGCGUAGCCUUCACACUCUUUGCUUUCGGCUUCACAACAGCCUUAGGCUUCGCCGCUGCUUUUGGCUUUGCGGCAGCUUUCGGCUUCACAGCAGCAGCUUUCGCCUUUGGCUUAGUUGCAGCCUUAGCGGCUGGCUUGGUAACAGCCUUAGCCUUCUUAGCAGGAGCAAUAGCGGCCUUCACCGGAGCAGUUUUGGCCACAGCUGGGGCGAUUUUGAAGGAGUUUUUCACCUUCACAAGCUUUCCAGAAGCCACAGAUUUCUUCAGAUGAAGAAGAAUGAGUUUGCGGAAUGUUGGAGAUAAAUCCUUAUGCUUCUCUUCGAUGAAUUUUGUAAUCGCGUGUUGGCUUGAACCAGUUCGUUCUUUCAAACUCACAAUUGCUUCAGUUAUCAUCUACAAAAACAAAAACAAAAACAAAAACAAAAAUCAGAAUUCAAUUCAAAUUUCAAAAAUUAUGACGAAAUUUGAAAAUUGAGAUUUGUUAUUACCUCAGCGUAAGUAGGAUGAGAGAGAGGCUUCUUUGCUGCAGCGGUUUUCUUGGGCUUGGGCUGAGCGGCGGCGUUGGGAGACAUGGUUGAGACUUGAGAUUCGGAAGAGAGAGAGAGAGAGUAACCGUUUUAGAGAGAGAAAGAGUUGCAGAGAAGAUUGACGAGAAAGUUGUGAUGUGAUUGUGAUUGAACGAGUGGGAGGGAAGGGAAUUUUUAUAUUGAAAAGAGAAAGGGAAAUGGAGAGCGCUGAUUGGUGGAAAUAGAAUGGCACGGAUCGAGAAUUUUUUGUCAUGUUUGAAUGUGAGCCUUUGGAUUAUGGUUUAUCGACGAUGGAGAAUGUAAGUCAGAGAGUUCACUCGGAUAGCUGAAUGAAAUGAGGAUAACGUG
rnacentral:lncRNA from 1 species